UACGUAGGGUGCAAGCGUUGUCCGGAAUUAUUGGGCGUAAAGAGCUCGUAGGCGGUUUGUCGCGUCGAAUGUGAAAACCCGGGGCUCAACCCCGGGCCUGCAUUCGAUACGGGCAGACUAGAGUUCGGUAGGGGAGUCUGGAAUUCCUGGUGUAGCGGUGAAAUGCGCAGAUAUCAGGAGGAACACCGGUGGCUAAGGCGGGUCUCUGGGCCGAUACUGACGCUGAGGAGCGAAAGCGUGGGGAGCGAACAGG
rnacentral:rRNA from 1 species